ensembl:lincRNA D930016D06Rik RIKEN cDNA D930016D06 gene
AUUGUCAGCACAUGAAAGGUGCCUCAGGGAGAGUGCAGUGACUGACAAGUGGUGACUGUGAGGUGCACAGGGAACAGAUGGAGCAGCUGGUGCGGUGCAUGAAAGGUCAAGUGCUGGGACUGAAGGUGUCCUGUUGCAGACAGGCCAGUGUCUCAGUGUGACCAUGAGAUUCAGCAGUCAGCCUUGCCCAGGUGUCCUCUCCAGUCUCCAGUGGACCUGGAAGUUGGAGGCAGAAGUGGGGGUGCCAGGAUCCACAUGUGUUACUGUGUGGUCCUGAGUGGAUUUGCCAUAACAAGUACAUUACUUAUGUCUGGUUUAUCAUACGAUGCUGGUCUUUAUAACUAAUCAUUAAUCUUCUACACUAUUUUCCAUAAGCUUUACCCAUGGAUGAGAGAUUUUUUAACUUUUCCUCACAUGAUAGAUCUAGACUUUGAAAUAUUGAACUAAGGGGAAAAAACCCUGGAAAGUAUGUUGAGAAGUACGCACAAUUGCUGCCCUGCCUAACUCUUCAGGUGACAAGUAGCUUUCUAAAGCUUGGAACUGUCAAAGGACUUCUGAGUAUGCUUCCAGCCACAAGUCAGUGCUGACAUCUUAACCAGUGUGUGGAGGAGGAGAGCAUUGGUUUCCACACUGAGGCAGCUCUGUGGUGGUUGUUCCUCUCAGGUACCCUCUACUGGUAAACUUUAACUAUACUGACAGACCAUAGCACAGCUAUGUCCCCAUUGUGCUGGAGUUUGUAUGAAUAGUUAGGAUGUUAAUACUACAUUUUUUUGCCUUCUUUCUCAUAGCUGAUGUCUAUGGAACUAGCUGUAUUACUUGUUUUUUGUUUUGUUUUUUAUUGUUAUAGCUCUGUUAAAUGGCCCCCCAAAUUUCCAGAUAGUAUCCCUAACUGCAACAGAAGAAUUUUAUGGAUCCUUAACUCACAAUAAGUUUGACUUUCAACAAUUUGUUGAGUGUGAAUAUUUUUACGUCUUUUUCAUGCUUCCACUUACUUGAAACUCAGUUUAUUCUUAAAAACUGUCUAGCAGAACCAGCUUAUUAAGUGUUACUUUGGUAUGCAGUGAAAUGGUCAAUUAAGCAAUAUUGAAGAAAGAUACUUUGACUGUUUUGAAAUUUAUUAUGAAUCAUAAAACAAAAAUCAUUUCAUAGUAUUUCAGAGAUAAAGUCUAAACUGUUCUUAGUCCAGUAUGUCAGUAGAAUUUAUAGUGCAAAUAAAAUUUGCUUAAUUAAAAGAUUUUUUUUGAAAGUCCGUCUAUUAUCAGAAAGCACCAGGAAGAAGUUGUAUUAGUAGCUGCUGUUUUCAUUGGAAGAGUUUUUCAUUAAAUUUCUGUGUAAAAUCUAUUCUUAAUAAGAGAUUUUGUUUGUUUUCCAAACAUACUAUAUAGUAUGAUCUUUUGAAAUCGAAAUGGAUAAGGAAGAAACAAGUGAGGGCUGGUGAUGGUCUUAUAACCACUACAGAAACUCUGUGUUUAGUGCUGUAUCUUGUAUUCAUUCUCAUGUUAAUUAAUUACUAGAUGUUGUCAGUCAUGUCUCCAAUGAAAACAGGAGUGAUAGGGCUUUCUGAGUCAGUUGAUGAAUGAAUCAUACUAAUUUUUAGCAGUUUUUUCAUAUAAUUUUGUCUCCAUCUUUUCAGUAUGUUGACCGAGUUCUUCUAGGUGGUAAAGUUUGUGUUCCAGGUAUAUUGAGUUUAUGUAUUUAUCAUGUAUGCACUAUUGUUAGGUGAAAACAUACUUCAACUUGAUGGGCAGCUAUUAUUCAGUAUUCAUGUAUACUAAUGUUGAUAUAUAUUAGAUACUGUGUUUUACUAUACCUAUAAGGUUAUACAAAAUUCUUUCCUUUUACUCAUGAGUUCCAUCUGUUUGGAUUUUUUGUUUGUUUAGAUUUUUUUUCUUCGUGUGUUAAAAAAUAUAGUUUAAUGCUUUUCCUGGUACCUUGCCCUUUGUUGGCAUAAUUGGGAUAUAAAUCGUUCAAAUCUCCACAAUUAAGAGUUUCAGAAAUAAGUGAUACUGGCCACUUGACUUAAUAAAGACUAGAUAUACAAAACAGGUAGAAAAAAUACCUAUUUCCUCACUAAAAACAAUUGAAUAUUUUUCUUAUUAUUAGCAAAUAUUAGUAAUAGCAUAGGCUAUGAAUAAUUUCUAUAUGUUUUGGCAAGCACAUAGUGAGACAAUGCUUAUUACAGUAAGUACUCAUUUCAGUUAACUAACUGGGCACUGUAAUUCCAAUAGGGCUGUAAUGCAUGGAAACUCACUCUUCAGAUUCCUUAGAGCUGUAACCUGAGACAGUUGAAGGGCCCAUAGUUCAUUUGGGAGGUGUAGAUAGUAGUGAAGCUGAGGAAGCCUGGAAAGGAAAGGUGUACAGAGGGUGUGCUGUCAAGCUGGCUAACACUGCAGGAUGCUAGAACUGUAUUUCCUUUGUGCUACUCUGGAAAAACUAGAACACACAAUUCAGACAUACCUCAUGUGAAGAAUUGGGAUACAGAACUAGUUUGGGGCAGUGGUAGCUAUCCUGUACAGUGAACAGCAGUUCUUGGCAACUUGUGAUCAAGAGCUGUAGCUGGACAUGAUGGCACAUGCUUGCAGUUCCAGCACCUGAGAGGUAGAAUCAGGAAGACCAGGAGUUUAGGGGGAACCUGGGCUACAUGGACUGUGUCC